CAACAGUAAAAGAAGGGCAAUAACACCUUACAAGAAUAAUAUCAAAUAUAAUCUAGACAACCUUACAAAAGAUGCAUAGUUACGAAUAAAUCCAAUCUUCUAUACAUGUAAGAAGCAAGAAACUUGUGGUGCACAAAAAAUAAAUAGGGGAUGAGGAACUAUGUAAAAUUCUUCUCUACUUCAUCAAAAACAUUUGUCAACAUAAGUGACAAGGGAGCGAUAAUCUUAUGUUUUGCAUCUUCUUUCGUCUUCCAAAAGUCCAGCCAAACAUUGUUUCUUUCUCACUACUUGGCAUCACCAACCCUUUACCAUAGGUUCCAAUCUUUUCCACUCCGAAACCAAAUUAAUAAGUAUAGAGAUGGUACUUACUGGAAUAAUUGAAUCUGCUACCCAAAGUUUAUAAUGUUCUUGAGCUAUCAGCUGCCUAUUCAAUCAGAAUUUUAGUACUGAUAAACCAUCUUUUUCACAAACCUGAACAACUAUAGUAUCUUUGGAGGUUGGACCUGCUUGUAAAGAUUUUCAAAAUAUAGAAGCACAAGCUACAAGACUGAUCAAAGAAGCAUAGAUUUUGUAAAGAUACAGAAAAAUGGAGAUAUUCAAGGAAACAAUGCAACAAGUGUAAAAGCAACAACUAAAAAAUCCAUGCGCAACAUACGUAAAAUGUAUCCAUAUUAUUAAGCUAAAACAUGUUUUUGGUUGAUAAAUUAUUUUUAAACUUGAACUUUUCUUUUUUCUUCAUAUUGUUACAUGCCUGAUAAGUAGCAAAAAUAUGGAAGAAGUACAAAUGAACCAAACUUACCUAGUAACAUAAAAUGUUGAACAUUAACCACAUCCAAUGACAAGAACUCUGCUUGAACCACCUUCAUUAGUUAGGACUGUGGAACUUUCAGCCCAAACAUGCCCUUAUGACUAUAGAUUCUAAAUGAACAAAUCAAUAUUUGAACGUCAAGGUGAAGAACAUUCCUUUCAAACAACUGAAUGCUGCAUAUACUCUCCAAUAAUCUGAUAACGGAGCAAUAAAAUCAAAUUGGGAACAUGUUCAGGGGCUAUGAGCAUCAACUUCAAAAUAAUUAAUCAAAACAUCAAUUCAAUUUGAUCUAUUUAUUAACCACAGAGCAGAUUACUUAGAAUGCUUAAUGAUAGUAAUUAGUAAUAUUGCUAUGAAUGAGAAUUCUUGAAGCAUAACCAUGAGGGGUUGGCAUUGCAAAGUUUUACAUGAUGUUUUCUUUUGUAUUUUCUACCUUUCUGAUGACCAAUGAGGAGAUAACUUCAACCUUCAAUGCACCCAAUGUAAGUCACCAUGGUUGGAUCAUCACAGCCAGCACGAUCUCCAUGAAGCUCAACUCACUUCAUACAUAACAUAAGAUUUUUUUCAAGUUGCAUUGUUAGAUAAGCAACUUGCCAGCUCAGCGUGGUCAAUAAUAUAAGUAAGGUGUCAAUAUUUUUUACUUGAAAAGACAGUACUACUCCACUUUUUCAUAUUUGCAUGAAAUAAUGAUAUGCUACAUCAUGAGGAAUGCAUCACAACACAUACUUUUUUUUUGAAACUCGUAAAGUUGCAUGCAUCACAACACAAGGCAUAAUCAGUUCUUUAAGAAUUGCAAAUAGUAUCGAAUUCCCAAAAUCAAAAGGUUAGGAUAUGGAUAGUGGAGAAAUCCAUUUGAAAUCAUUUCUUUCAUUAUAAUAUGUUCAUAAGUCAACUCAAGCCCCUAACUCGGGCAAUUUUCUAAAGAAUCACAGACUUUGCACAUCAGUUAACAGUAUCACAUAAGCCUCUCCACAAGCUAACAUCACAGUAAGGUCUAACGACUAGCCUAGCAACGUUUUUCAGCAAUAAGCUACUAGGUUGGGACCACAUAAAUCAUUUUCGAAACACAAAUUAAGCAUGAAAUUGCCAAAGAGAAGGUAAAAUGACUAAUUCGCAAUUUUACAAGAUAUGGGACACUACAUGUUAUUGGUUGAAAACAAAACCAAUCAAUUUAUUCGAUUUUUGAUUUAUUAAAACAAAACCUAACCAAGUAUAAUAUUCAUUUAUUUGGUUUGAUUGUUAUUUAUUUUGGUUUAGUUCAGAUCGAUUUUUCAAUUAUUAACCAUACACAAAAUUUAAAUUAAUAAAAAUAAUCAUUCUAAAGAGGAUAAAAAACAACAACAAUUCAUAUAAAAUGAGAAAUAAUCAGAAUGAUUAACAUAACAGAACUAAUUUACGUGGCACAUACCGUGACAUUACGCAAUUGAGAUGCGUGAAAGAUAAUUAGAUACCACGUGAGCUAAAAAGUUGCACAAAAUUACCAAAAAAUAAGUUAGAAGAGUAAUAAGACCUUAGUUUAGUUAAGGUGUGCUUCUGAUUCGAUCAUGGUCUAAGGUACUUGUGCAUUUUUUUAAAAUUGUAUAAAAUAUAUUUAAUAUACAAAACGAACAGUAAAAUAUACAAAAAUGAUAUAACUAACCGGAAAAAAAAAACUCAAUUAUAUGUUUAGACAAAAAUCAGUCACAAACAACCUUAGUAUGGAAUUCGAUACCAAUUAUAUACAUCUACAAAUUAUUUUCAAACAAAUCAACUACUCCAUAUAAAAUAUCAUUUUAAUCGACAUUCGUAAUCAAUAACACAGUAGUUCAAAUUAAAGACAAAUAAACUAAGAAAUAUAUGAAAUCAUAUACAUUGAAUGUAGUCAGAAAAUUUUACAACUCAUAAUGAAUAAAUUUUAUGUUUACGUUUUCGUUGUUCCAGCCACAAAAAUAAAUUAAUUGUUUUUGUAUUAAUACAGAAUAAACUUUGAUUAAAGGAAACCAUAAAUAGUCCUCAAAAGGAAGAAGUUUUAUUUUGAUAACAUAUUAUAAUUAUACUAAAUUACCUUUAAUUAAGGCAUUUCUCAAUUAAUGCUUAAUUAGUUAGAUAUAAUUAGAUAGAUUUUUUAUAUGAUUAAUUAUAAAUAGAAUGAAUUAUACAAAUCAUAAAUAUAAUAGCAAUUUAAACUAUAGUUAUGUUAUGUAAAUAGACAAACUAUAGUUAAGGAUACCUAUUAUGUUUCUUGUUGUAGUUGUAUAUGAAUUUUUUUCUUAGUAACAAAAAGUAACAUAUUUAGUAAAAAUAAUUAUACUUUAUAAAUAUUAGUAAUAAUGUAAAAAGAUGUCAUUAUUUUAAAAGUUUUAUGGAUUCCAAUUUUCUUCCUAUUUUAUCUUCCUUUUCAAUUAAUUCUAUAUAUCUUUUUUUUUAAAAAAAAAAACAUUCUCUCUCAUAUUUAUCUUUUCAAAUUCUUAAUUCUCUCUUCCAUUUUAAACUAUUUCUUCCUCAUAUUUAUCUUUUUUGAUUUUCCUCCAACAUUCAAGUUGUUAAUAAUUCUCUGACAUAUAUUUUGGUUUUUUUUUUUUUAAUAAAAAAUUGGAUCAACAUGAAUUCCUUUGAUUAUGGUCCCUAAUCUUUAUCAUAUUUUCAGAUUUCUUUCGAAUUUUGUUUUUGUUUAAAUCUUAAAAAGUCGUUUAUUUUUUUCAAUCUUCAUUAGGGUUUACUCUCCAAUGGUUGAAUCCAAGAGGCUUACUAGAGGUAUGCAUCUUAAUCAAUCAAUUUCUAGUGAUUUCUCAUUCUUUUAUUUAUUUAUUUAUUGCUCAAGAAAUAGCGAAUAUUGUAUGAUCUGCUGCUAAAAUGAGGGAAGAAAGAGGGUCAAAACAUUUAGAAGACCCAAUUGGUGUGCAAAACCUUCCUCAAUUUCAUAACGCAAUGUAGAAUCUUCGUCUACUUAUGGGGAUCUUGAAAAAGAUGACGAAAGACCGAAUAGUUGUCAAACAAUUUUCUAUUAGUUUGUUUUCUAUUUAUACUUCUUUUUUAGAAUUUGGUAUUCUUUCUCAAUUUUCAUUCAAAUCGCUACGUAUACUAUCAAUAUUUGUAUUUAUUAAACAUUUCAUGUUGCAUAGUUUAUGGUUCUUGUAUUUGUCCCUAAUUUGUAAUAAUACAAAGAUAUGUCAAAUAGUUAUGUAUUUUAUUUAUAGGAAGAACAACUUUCUAUUAAUUUAUUUGUAUUUGUAUACAAAUACAAAUAAUAUACAUAUUGAAAUGAAUACGCCUUAGAAAUGGAAAUAAGAUUCUGAAAAGAAAAAUAAAUGUAUAGUGAAAAAAUAUAUGAGUACACAUGUAUUUCUUAAAUAGCUACACAUUUAUUUGACAUACAUAUUGGAAUGAAUAUGAACCAAUAAAGAAAUACAAGUUUAUUAUCCAAAAUACAACAUGAAAACUAGAAUGAAUACUAAUACAAACAGUACACAUAUUGGAAUAAGUACGUUUUAAGCAAGAAUACAAAAUUUUAAAAAAUAAAACAAAUACACUGUGAGAAAAGUAUGUCAAAUAACAUAUAAAACUAUAGGUGUUCAAAUUUCUAAAAUUAAUUUUUUUAAUUAAUAGAUAAAACUAUAAUGUAUUAUCAUAAAGUUUCAUAACAAUAAUUAGUGGGAAUUGAAUAUUAAAUUUUUUGAUUAUAUGAUUUUCAUAACAAUAAUUAUUGAAAAAUUGAUAUUGAAAUUUUAUAGAUGUGGUACUUCUUUGAUUCCGUGAUUUUCAUAACAAUAAUUAGUGAAAAUUGAAUAUUCAUUUUGAUAAAUAAAAGUGUUCAGAAACAAAAAAAAAGAUUAAGAAAAAUGGAUAUUGAAUAUUUUAGAACAAUGGAGAAGGGUGUGUUUUUAGGGAAAAAAAAAAGAAGAAUAAGAUGAGAGUUGAUGUAUUUUGAUAAAUUGUAAGUAAUGAGACUAUUAGCAUUUGUUCCUUUUUAAAAAUAAUUUAUCUCCCCUAAUUUUCUCCAAUCUUAUAUAAAAAUUGUAUUCUUUAAAUAAAUAAAAAAAAAGAAUAUAAAGAAGAUACAUAAUAAAUUUAUAUUUCGAUAUUUUUAUUAAAUAUUAAAAGUGUUGUUAAUGAACUCUUUAAAUGUUAAAAUAUUGACAUUUUGAAAAUUUUCCUAAAAACAAAUAAGAAAGGGAGAAAAAUUAUUGGGCCCAAGUCUGGUUAUGUACACCUGGGCCACCAUUGGGCGUAAUUCAGUUUUGGGCUUUUGACCCGUUUAUAUUUGGCACAAUUUUUCAUUUUUGUACAUGUCCUAUGCUAUCAAAUAAACAUGGGAAAUUUAGCGAUUAAGAUAACUUUAAGAACAUAAUUAAUUAAAAUAAUAUUAAUUUAAUUUUUUUCGUGAAAAUGGCAGAAUAACAAUAUGUUAUUAAUUUUACGUAUUUUAGAUUUUAGUUUUAUUAAAUUUGUGUAUUUUAGAUUUUAGUAUAUAUAUUAUUAUUAUUAAUUAAUGUAUUUAUAAAAACUCAUUUAUUGGACCAAAACAUGGUCCAAUAACCAUUUAAUGAAAAAAGAAAUUAAUAAUUACAUGUACAGUUCCGAGAAAUGUAAAACUUAAAUCCAUUCAAAAUUUUCAGAUUAUCAUGGUACAAUAAUCAUUUAAUGAAAAAAGAAAAAAAAAUUAAUAAUUACAUGUACAACUCCAAGAAAUGUAAAACUUAAAUCCAUUCAAACAUUUCAGAUUAUUCCAAAUUUUCAAGUUUUUUUCAUCAAAAUUUCUAGAUUCUUCAUCAAAGCCAUUGAUUAUCAAGGAUUCAAGCAGAUUUUCGAGCUCAUAAAGGAUUAUUAUUAAAGCAGAUUUCGUGGUGGCAAGGUUAGUUCUGAUUUUAUAUAUCACGAUUUUAUGAAUUAUUUAUGUGAUUUUGUUUUAAUAUUCAUCAUACAUUUAUGAUUUUGUAUUUUUUGUCCCUUUCUUUUGUGAUUUUCUUUUAAUGUUUAAGAUUAGGUAGAUUAUGAAAAUUCAUAUAAUAUAAAAUCAUUUUUGUUAGAUGUUCAAUACGGUUUAACAGUUGUUAAAAGAAUUUUUUUUUCUUCAGAUUUUUGGAUUGUAAAAAAAAAAAGAGUGUAUUGUAUGCAAUGGCUGAUUCAGUCAGAAUUACUAGAGGUAUAAACAACAACAUUCAAAAUUUUCCGGAAUUUCCCUCAUUUGAUUUGUGCAUUACUCAUGCUAUCAAAAAAGUUCCUAGAUUUAACAAGAUCAAAAUAUAAUCUAGGAACUUUUUUGGUAGCAUGAGUAAUGCGCAAAUCAAAUGAGGGAAAUUCCGAAAAUUUUUGAAUAUUGUUGUUUAUACCUCUAGUAAUUCUUACUGAAUCACCCAUUGCAUACAAUACACUCUUUUUUAUCUAACAAUCCAAAAAUCUGGAAAAAAAAAAAGAAAUUUUCUUUUAACAACUGGUAAACCGUAUUGAACAUCAAACAAAAAUGAUUCUAUAUAUAUGAAUUUUCAUAAUAAACCUAAUCUUAAACUUUCAAAGAAAAUCACAAAAAAGGGACAAAAAAUACAAAAUCAUAGAUGUAUGAUGGAUAUUAUAACAAAAUCACAUAAAUAAUCCAUAAAAUCGUGAUAUAUAAAAUCAGAAUUUUAACAAAAACAUAAAAAAAAAAUCAGAACUGAAAGUUGAACUAACCUUGCCACCACGAAAUCUGCUUUAAUAAUAAUCCUUUAUGAGCUCGAAAAUCUGUUUGAAUCCUUGAUAAUCAAUGACUUUGAUGAAGAAUCUGGAAAUUUUGAUGAAAAAAACUUGAAAAUUUUGAAUGUGUUUAAGUUUUAAGAACUGUACAUGUAAUUAUUAAUUUCUUUUUUCUUUUUUUCAUUAAAUGGUUAUUGGACCAUGAUAAUCUGAAAAUUUUGAAUGCAUUUAAGUUUUACAUUUCUUGAUACUGUACAUGUAAUUAUUAAUUUCUUUUUUCAUUAAAUGGUUAUUGGACCAUGUUUUGGUCCAAUAAAUGAGUUUGCAUAAAUACACUAAAUUAAUAAUAAUAUAUUCUAAAUUACACAAAAAUUUAAUAAAACUAAAAUCUAAAAUACGUAAAAUUAAUAAACAUAUUGUUAUUCUGUCAUUUUCGCUAAAAAAAAUAAAAUUGAUGUUAAUGUUCUUAAAGUUGUCUUAAUUGAUAGACAUCAGACAAAGAAGAGUUUAUUACCUCUUGUAGAACGGUGAAUCUGGGACGAAAGAAGAGCCUUCCACGACCAACCUCAAACCCCUACGAUUCCGACGAACUAAACAUAGGCAGACGCAAGCAAAGACAAAACAAAAUUGAACCCUAUCGGUCGGCGUUGUACGCUGCUGGACCAUUGGAAAUGGGCAGUAUAUUAUGAAAUGGGCUACUGAAAUUAAG
rnacentral:lncRNA from 1 species